rnacentral:rRNA from 1 species
UCGGGUGACAGUUGUUAAAGCGGGGGACCCUUCGGGGCCUCGCGUCUGAAGAGAAGCCCGCGGCAGAUUAGCUAGUUGGUGAGGUAAAGGCUCACCAAGGCGACGAUCCGUAGCCGGCCUGAGAGGGCGGUCGGCCACACUGACACUGACAUACGGGUCAGACUCCUACGGGAGGCAGCAGUCGGGAAUUUUGGGCAAUGGGCGCAAGCCUGACCCAGCAACGCCGCGUGAAGGAUGAAGUUUUUCGGAAUGUAAACUUCACAAGAAUGGGAAGAAUAAGACAGGGCUAAUAUCCUCUGUCGUUGACGGUACCAUUUGUAAGCUCCGGCUAACUCCGUGCCAGCAGCCGCGGUAAUACGGGGGGAGCAAGCGUUGUUCGGAUUUACUGGGCGUAAAGGGCGCGUAGGCGGCGCAACAAGUCACUUGUGAAAUCUCUCGGGCUUAACUCAGAGCGGUCAAGUGAUACUGUCGUGCUUGAGUGCGGAAGGGGCAACUGGAAUUCUCGGUGUAGCGGUGAAAUGCGUAGAUAUCGAGAGGAACACCUGCGGCGAAGGCGGGUUGCUGGGCCGACACUGACGCUGAGGCGCGAAAGCUAGGGGGGCGAACG